rnacentral:rRNA from 1 species
UUUGGAGGAGUUUGAUCCUGGCUCAGAUUGAACGCUGGCGGCAGGCCUAACACAUGCAAGUCGAACGGUAGCACAGAGAGCUUGCUCUCGGGUGACGAGUGGCGGACGGGUGAGUAAUGUCUGGGAAACUGCCUGAUGGAGGGGGAUAACUACUGGAAACGGUAGCUAAUACCGCAUAACGUCGCAAGACCAAAGAGGGGGACCUUCGGGCCUCUUGCCAUCAGAUGUGCCCAGAUGGGAUUAGCUAGUAGGUGGGGUAACGGCUCACCUAGGCGACGAUCCCUAGCUGGUCUGAGAGGAUGACCAGCCACACUGGAACUGAGACACGGUCCAGACUCCUACGGGAGGCAGCAGUGGGGAAUAUUGCACAAUGGGCGCAAGCCUGAUGCAGCCAUGCCGCGUGUAUGAAGAAGGCCUUCGGGUUGUAAAGUACUUUCAGCGGGGAGGAAGGUGUUGUGGUUAAUAACCACAGCA